UACGUAGGCAGCGAGCGUUGUUCGGAGUUACUGGGCGUAAAGAGUGCGUAGGCGGUUUUCUAAGUUUGGUGUGAAAUCUCCCGGCUUAACUGGGAAGGUGCGCCGAAGACUGGAAGGCUUGAGUAUGGGAGAGGUAAGCGGAAUUCCUGGUGUAGCGGUGAAAUGCGUAGAUAUCAGGAGGAACACCUGCGGUGUAGACGGCUUACUGGACCAUAACUGACGCUGAGGCACGAAAGCGUGGGUAGCAAACAGG
rnacentral:rRNA from 1 species